ensembl:processed_transcript 2010204K13Rik RIKEN cDNA 2010204K13 gene
GAGCAAUGAAUUCACCCAGGAUCCAUGGAAGGCUUGAGCAAAUGCUUACUUAGCAAAGUGCUAGGCACAGAGCUAAGCAAGGCAAACCAUCGAAAAGGAGAGCCGAGGGAGCUUCCCUAAGGCACGACUGACAAGUAUCCUGGAGAAACCUGAUCUUACACAGAGCACGUGGUGGCUGCUAGAGGACAAGCAGGGUCAGGAAGACAGUCACGGGAAGAUAACAGGAAAUGAGUAAGAACCUGUGAAAGCCCUUUGACCUGAGGAGUUGCAGGAGGCUGAGAUUACCUGCUGGGAUGCUAAAGUUUAAAAAGGGUUGCUUAUGUGACUGUAACUGUGGAGUUAUGCACUGGACCUGGCUGGCUUCCCUAGUGGGUACAUAUCUGAAGAUAAUGAUAUCCGGUCUUCCAGAGUCUACCAAUAGCCAAUAGUUCCCCAGGGUCCUGUAAGUACUGACAAGGGGUGUGAUUUUGCCAGCUGAAGGCAGUUUACAUUCGGAGUUCCGCGGACUCUUCAGAGGCUGUAAAAAUGCCGGAGUCACGAAAGCCUGCAAAGAGCUGUUGCUUGCCUUGCUGCUGCUGCUGCUACUGCCGUCCCUGCCCGUGCUGCAGCUGCUACUCCUGCUGCUGCUGCUGCUGCUUGUUGCUGAUUGUUGCGGUUGCUGGUUGCUGUUUACUGUUUGCUGCCGGCUGGAUUGCUGGAUUGCUGAUUGCCAGUCGGCGAAAUCCUGGCGAUGAAGAUCCAACUUGCCCCAAGAAACAAGACGACCCUAAGAAGUAGUCUAAUGAUUUCAAUACGCCCUUUCCCCCUCUGACCUUUCUCUCUUACCUUAUGCUGGGGGAUUGGAAGGGUGGCAGAAAAAAGAACCCAAUAAAGUAGCCAAAAGU